UACCAGCACCCCGAGUGGUCGGGACGAUUAUUGGGCCUAAAGGCAUCCGUAGCCGGCCUUACAAGUCCUCCGUUAAAUCCAGCUGGCUUAACCAGAUGGGCUGCGGAGGAUACUAUAAGACUAGGAGGCAGGAGAGGCAAGCGGUACUCAGGUGGGUAGGGGGUAAAAUCCGUUGAUCCAUUGAAGACCACCAGUGGGCGAA
rnacentral:rRNA from 1 species